rnacentral:tRNA from 1 species
GGGCGGAUGGUUUAGUGGUAUAAUACUCCCUUAGCAUGUUGCCUGGGAGUGGUCCGGGGUUCGAUUCCCCGUCUGUCCA